UUGAACGCUGGCGGCAGGCCUAACGCAUGCAAGUCGAGCGGAUGAAGGGAGCUUGCUCCUGGAUUCAGCGGCGGACGGGUGAGUAAUGCCUAGGAAUCUGCCUGGUAGUGGGGGAUAACGUCCGGAAACGGGCGCUAAUACCGCAUACGUCCUGAGGGAGAAAGUGGGGGAUCUUCGGACCUCACGCUAUCAGAUGAGCCUAGGUCGGAUUAGCUAGUUGGUAGGGUAAAGGCCUACCAAGGCGACGAUCCGUAACUGGUCUGAGAGGAUGAUCAGUCACACUGGAACUGAGACACGGUCCAGACUCCUACGGGAGGCAGCAGUGGGGAAUAUUGGACAAUGGGCGAAAGCCUGAUCCAGCCAUGCCGCGUGUGUGAAGAAGGUCUUCGGAUUGUAAAGCACUUUAAGUUGGGAGGAAGGGCAGUAAGUUAAUACCUUGCUGUUUUGACGUUACCAACAGAAUAAGCACCGGCUAACUUCGUG
rnacentral:rRNA from 1 species